rnacentral:lncRNA from 1 species
AAGGUUUUAGAAACAUGAAAAUCAUGUUACAGAUAUUUCUUUUGUUUAUUGGUGUAUUCAAACAGGAAAAUUUUAAAGACUGAUGAAAAGUGAAGUCUGGUCUGCAAUAUAUGAUUCUGAUGUUGCUUGUCAAACAUGUCAAAAGGAGAUUUGUGGUCAAAAUAACAUGAAGAGAUGUUGUAUGAUUGCCAAUUGGACAACUAUCCAACAGAGUCCAAAUUAAACUGAUUAAAGCAAUUAUAUGUCCAGGGAACAGCCUUCAAAAGUAAACAUAAGUCGUCUUGGUUGUGUGGAACAUAUGGAAUGUGAACUAGUAAACUUGACAAAGGUUUUAUGGAUGAUUUGGAAUAAUAUCUUAUAAUUUGUUUGAAAUAUG